UGGGGAAUAUUGCGCAAUGGGGGCAACCCUGACGCAGCAAUACCGCGUGAGUGAAGAAGGUUUUCGGAUCGUAAAGCUCUGUUAUUGGGGAAGAAAAAAGACGGUACCCAAGAAGAAAGUCCCGGCUAACUACGUGCCAGCAGCCGCGGUAAUACGUAGGGGACAAGCGUUGUCCGGAUUUACUGGGCGUAAAGGGCACGCAGGCGGUUUUUUAAGUCAGAUGUGAAAGGUACCGGCUCAACCGGUGACAUGCAUUUGAAACUGAAAGACUUGAGUAUUGGAGAGGCAAGUGGAAUUCCUAGUGUAGCGGUGAAAUGCGUAGAUAUUAGGAGGAACACCAGUUGCGAAGGCGGCUCUCUGGACUGUAACUGACACUGAGGCACGAAAGCGUGGGGAGCAAACA
rnacentral:rRNA from 1 species